rnacentral:lncRNA from 1 species
AAUGAUUUGUGUGUAAUUGGUAAUACGCUUGAUUAUAAUUGAUAGACGAUGAAAUAGAAAUGAUGCAUAUAUUUGUGCAGUAUUGGUCAUGGUUUAAGCUCAUGUGAGAAAAUAAAGUUCAUAGUACGUGUGUAUGGUAUAUUUGGUAUAUGAUUUGGCAUGAAGUAAUGUCAUGAAUGGGUAUUGAAUUAACACAUGUUGGUAAGUUUGAUACAUGAAUAAAUAUUGUGAUCAUGAAAGGGGUGGUAAGGUUUAAAUUAUGAAAUCUUUAGUGAAAUGGUUUAUUAUGUGAUUAUUUCCAAAAAGAAUUAUGUUUCAAUGCACUAGCUUGCGACUAUGGUUGAACGAUAUGUUUAUGUCUUGUGUGAUUUGCAUAGGAAACGAGUGUGGAAAGGUAAUGAAAUAGUAAGUUCAUACGGCUGAACUUUUAUGAUUAAUUGUUAAUGUGAGAAUGAUAUAAUGUAUCAAUCUGUAUAUUGUUGUUGAAUUAUGAUUAUGGUAAAAUGAGAAUAAGAUGAGAUUGUUAGUUCAAAUUAAGGGAUACGCAGGAUUGAGUACAUACGUUCGGUAACCAGUGAUGAAUUGACGAAUAAGUCCAUGGUGGAUCCAUGGCAAAGUGUGAAACGUAGGUAUAGUAUUUCAGUGAAGAAAACCAUACUGAGUUGUGAAAAGUAGGUAUGGUAUUUCGAUAAAGAAAACCAUACUGAGUUGUAAAAAGUAGGUAUGGUAUUUCAGUGAAGAAAACCAUACUGAGUUGUGAAAAGUAGGUAUGGUGUUUCAGUGAAGAAAACCAUACUGAGUUGUGAAAAGUAGGUAUGGUGUUUUAGUAAAGAAAACCAUACUGAGUUGUGAAAAGUAGGUAUGGUAUUUCCGUGAAGCAAACCAUACUGAGUUAUAGCAAUGUGAAAUAUUC